rnacentral:rRNA from 1 species
AUUGAACGCUGGCGGCAGGCUUAACACAUGCAAGUCGAGCGGGGUGAUGGUGCUUGCACUAUCACUUAGCGGCGGACGGGUGAGUAAUGCUUAAGAAUCUGCCUAUUAGUGGGGGACAACAUCUCGAAAGGGAUGCUAAUACCGCAUACGUCCUACGGGAGAAAGCAGGGGAUCACUUGUGACCUUGCGCUAAUAGACGAGCCUAAGUCGGAUUAGCUAGUUGGUGGGGUAAAGGCCUACCAAGGCGACGAUCUGUAGCGGGUCUGAGAGGAUGAUCCGCAACACUGGGACUGAGACACGGCCCAGACUCCUACGGGAGGCAGAAGUGGGGAAUAUUGGACAAUGGGGGGAACCCUGAUCCAGCCAUGCCGCGUGUGUGAAGAAGGCCUUAUGGUUGUAAAGCACUUUAAGCGAGGAGGAGGCUCUUUUGGUUAAUACCCAAGAUGAGUGGACGUUACUCGCAGAAUAAGCACCGGCUAACUCUGUGCCAGCCGCCGCCGUAA